AAGGGCGAUUUAUAGUCGUGCGUAGGUCCUACGGCGUAGCAGCGACGGCGUAGGUUCCGCGUCGGUUUUCAUUUAUACUUGUGCGUCGCCGUCCGCGUCGACGUGCAAACACACGCGAAACCGCUGGUUGGCAGUAAUCACGCGUGUAACCACAGUAGCAGCAGAAGUCGUCACAGAAGAAGAAGCUAAGCAAGUAAACCCACAAACGAAGAAGAAAUAGCAACUUGUUGUGUAUAAUUUGAGAAGACCAGCAAUGAUGGAAGUAAAUAAACAGCGACUUAUGUUUCAGUUUGAGUUAAAUCACUCCUCAACUUGGCUCAUCUUUGUUUUCACCGUCUCAAACGGAAAUACCUAUGACGCAGUUUUUUUACCUGACGGGAGGGGUUCUGGUGGACCAAUCACAGCGCUUACGGUCCGCGUAGAGCCGACGCGCUGUUAGAAAUUUUGUGAGGUGCGCGUCAGGCUACGCAGAGCUACGCACAGGCUACGGAUAGCCUACGCCGUAGGACCUACGCACGACUAUAAAUCGACCUUAGCUGUGUAUGAUGAGAAUACCCUGAAAGCCUUUGUGACAUUUCAGGGAGAAGAAGUUUGUCACAGUUUGACUGAAUGAAAAGGAAGACCUGUACACGCUGAUGAGAGAGACAUUCUUGAUCGACUUGGGUCCCACACCAUUUCAGAGGCACUUAAAGGACUUAGUGGCAAAUGCACGGGUUCAUGAUAACGGGGAACCCAAUGAAUAUUAUUCACAAACAUUCAUGCCCAGACUGUUAAAAUAUGGUCUGGUCUCAUGCUGGGUGAUCUCUCCCGCCAUGGAAAAGGACCAGCCAACAAUAUUUUGUCCAGAAAGUUUAUGUGUUGGAGCCAGUUGAGCACACAGAACUACACAGGGGACAAUAAAACCCAGGGCAUAAUGGAAAAAAGUCUGGGAUCUAAAAAAAAAGAUUUUAAAGACGCUGUCUGACAAGACUUGACGACUUUGUUGAAAUUUAUCAGAAAUCACGUAACGCUCUACUAAAUGAGUUCUCUGACUCUACAAGGAAAACAAAGCCAAAAAAUAAGGUCAAUAAAGCAGAACCACUGCUCGAAACAUCUGCUGAAGGUUUAAAGGACGGUGAGGAAGAAUGCUCAUCCUCAGCAGAAAAAACAAAAACGUUGGAGACCAAGUCUUCCGAGGCAAAGCAGUUCUACAGGUCCCCAUUCCCACAAAAGAUAAAAAAGCAGCAAGACUAGUAAGACGUUCACAUAUGCCUAAAGGUAUAAAAAAGCACUAUGACUGAAUUCCUUCAUCCACUGCACUGGGUCAGCUGUGAUGAAAGGGAUUUUGUGGCAUACCUUCUUGCAAGAGAGUACCCACAAAUCGAUGGAUUCCAGUCAACACUUUUGCUCCAGGCAUUGCAGAAUGGAGGAAUUGUGUGUAUGCCUUGCAGCUCGUUCAUCCAAUUGUUACACACUGGUGACGACCACUAGCUCUCUGUACAGUAAGCAACCUCUGUUGCAGAAGUGAUGAGGUUUGCAUUUAUUACAGUCUUUCUACAAGGUUUGAUAACAGAGACAAACAGGAUUCAUCCUGGUUACUCAGACCAGCUGAAGAACAGUUUGUUGUUACAUUUCCCGAUGUUCAGCAGCAAACAAAUGGCAACUGUGGUUUAUUUGCAACUGUAUGCUUUUGCAUUAUACUGCAACAUCAGACCUGAAAAUUUUAUGUUCUGUGACGGCCGGUUGAGGACAGAACUUUUUACUUCUUUCAGAUCAGGGAAAUUACAGUUUAAAACAGAGCCAAAAUCAAGUAAGACAACGUUAAGGGAAACAUCUGUAGAUGUUUACGGUUUGUGCAGAACCGUACACUGCGCUGAUGUCAUGGGGGAAUGUUCAUUUUGCCAACGGUGGUAUCAUCCAAACUGUGUCCAAAUACUAAAUAAUGGCCAUUAACGGUGAUGAAGACUGGCACUGCACUAAUUGUAAUAAAUAAAUGUACAAUAUCUAUAUACAUUGCUGUUUACCUUAAUUUAAAUCUAUAGUCAUAGUGUUAAAGUGGCUACAGGUGCAUUAUCGUUUGAGGCCAUGCAAUAGUGAGGUAAAGAGCAAUUUUGAUUUAAUUGCUUAUUUUUAUUUAAUUUUAAUAUAUUUCAAUUUGAUGUUCAAUUUUGCCAAUUGUUGGUCAUGGAGAGCAUUUCGUUUUAUGGAAUGUUUCCAGACAUUGGCACAACACCCCAAUGGCUGUAUUAUUUAUGCAUGUGUGUGUAUUUUACCUUAUAUUGUUGCACCUUUAUUCUUGUUGUGUAAAUUUUUUUAUACACUUUUUUUACUUAUAAUGGCUGACAUUGAUCUUGUUUUGUUAAUUCAAUAUUUCGAAUGUAUAGUUUUCAAAAGUAUACAACAUUUAUA